AAGUCGUAACAAGGUUUCCGUAGGUGAACCUGCGGAAGGAUCAUUGUCGAGACAUUGAGUGAAUGAAGCGAAUAUGUUAUCAACUCAAAGUGGGAGUGGCAUUGUUUACCUUGUUGGUAGUAUCCACCCCUACAAGGAUCGUGUCUUUCUUGUCCCUCCUCUCCACGUAGAGGGUGAGGUUGGUUUGCACGAGAUUCAACUAAACCCYGACGCGGGUUGCGUCAAAUGGAUAUUGAAAAACAAUAACAKGUCGUGGACCAAGAUUGGCCUCGUCUCGGUAGGAUGUGCCAUUCUYCCCCACGUCCCUGGUCAGAACAAAGUAUGAUGACUCUCGGCAACGGAUAUCUAGGCUCUCGCAUCGAUGAAGGACGUAGCGAAAUGCGAUACAUGGUGUGAAUUGCAGAAUCCCGUGAACCAUCGAGUCUUUGAACGCAAGUUGYGCCCAGAGCUGUUAGGCCGAGGGCACGCCUGCCUGGGCGUCUCUAGUCCCACMGCUACUAUUUGUGCAUUCUCCUUGGAUGCACUUUUCGGGGAGUUGGAAUUUGGCCAUCCGUGAAUCGGAAUCACACGGUUGGCUUGAUGUUUGAUGUUGUGAUACUUUUGCAUCACGACGGGUGGUGAUUGCUCCUACGAUAAUCCUUGGUUCGUCGUGAUUGCCAUGUUGUUUACGAGUUGAUCGACCAAUCGAGUACGGCAUAUUCUUGUGCCCCUCCAAUCAUGCAGACCCCAGGUCAGGUGAGGCCACCCGCUGAGUUUAA
rnacentral:rRNA from 1 species